ACGGGUGAGUAACACGUGGGAACGUACCCUUUUCUACGGAAUAACCCAGGGAAACUUGGACUAAUACCGUAUGUGCCCUUCGGGGGAAAGAUUUAUCGGAAAAGGAUCGGCCCGCGUUGGAUUAGCUAGUUGGUGGGGUAAAGGCCUACCAAGGCGACGAUCCAUAGCUGGUCUGCGAGGAUGAUCAGCCACAUUGGGACUGAGACACGGCCCAAACUCCUACGGGAGGCAGCAGUGGGGAAUAUUGGACAAUGGGCGCAAGCCUGAUCCAACCAUGCCGCGUGAGUGAUGAAGGCCUUAGGGUUGUAAAGCUCUUUCACCGGAGAAGAUAAUGACGGUAUCCGGAGAAGAAGCCCCGGCUAACUUCGUGCCAGCAGCCGCGGUAAUACGAAGGGGGCUAGCGUUGUUCGGAUUUACUGGGCGUAAAGCGCACGUAGGCGGAUCGAUCAGUCAGGGGUGAAAUCCCAGAGCUCAACUCUGGAACUGCCUUUGAUACUGUCGAUCUGGAGUAUGGAAGAGGUGAGUGGAAUUCCGAGUGUAGAGGUGAAAUUCGUAGA
rnacentral:rRNA from 1 species